rnacentral:lncRNA from 1 species
CAAUAAUCUUGGGCCAAAAUUUAUUGUCAAAGGAAUAUAAAAAUUUUUGCUUUGUUCUGGAAUUUUGUCACAAUAAAGCAUUGUCAUUUGUCUCUUAGAUUCUUUCCUUCCCAGCUCCUCCACCACCACCACUCCCUAUUGGUGAAAUUGGCACAUGUCAAAGAGCUAACAAAGGGAUCUUCCUAAAAGGUGUCAUUGUGUGCCCAAAGGGUUUCUGGACUUGGACAUCAUGGUGGACUGUUUCUCCAGAUGCUUGGAGUCAUAUGAUCUACUCUAAGCAAAUUCUGACUGAGGUACGACAGGAGGGAUCCAGGUUCUGUGAGGCCUGAAAACAAUACGGUUAUUGUAAGGAUUAAGAGAGACAAUAUAUGUAAUCUUUGGCUUGAUGCUUUGCACAACGUAAGGACUCAAUAAACAACAGUUACCUAAGGGAUAGGUCAUGAAGCAAGGAGUCCAGUGAGGAUAUUCCCUCAACAGUGUGGGCCAGAGAUGAGAAAGCUUACACUGGCACUGUUGUUUGACAGCAAAGAUGGAGAUGGAGAAGGUGGAACAGUGCUGGAAGAAAUUAAGAGGACAGGAAUAGUAGGGUGUGCUUGAUGAUUGGAUUCAGAGGAUGAUUUGAGAAGUGGGAAGAGGGAAGUGCCAGCCAAAAAACUGAGGAAGAACAAACAGAGCACCAAGCAUCAAGUAGUGAUCACUGAAUGACUCAAUACUGCCCAGCAUGGACACAUCUAGGAAAUGUUAGCCAAAGAAAUGUUAUACUUGUCUAGGUGUAUAAAUGUCAAAUGAAGGGGGCAAUGUAUAAAUUUUAUUUAAAAAAUAAAUAUUUUUAUUCAUAGUUAUAGUCUCAUAUGAAUUAAAGUACUGAAAAAUGACUUAAUUACCCAAAAGUGUCAUCAUCGUGUAAUAAAAAUGAACUAAAAAGAAUGUUACGAUGGCUAGUAAAUUAUUAGAAAUAUAGACAAAAGACAGAAUUAAAUCACCACUUUAUAUUUUUUUCAGGAAAAAAACAUUUUUUCAAGUAGAGAAUCUCAUAUGCUUACCUGUUAAUAAACAACAAUCCAGUUGGGAAAGGAUAUUUGAUUGGAAGUCAGUGUACUAGUCUCAGUUCCUUAACUUACCCUAUGACCGCUAGGGAAUUACUUACUCAGUUUCAUGCUAUGUUGAAAUUCUAACACUAGUUACGCUGAUGCAUAUAGCAGAGGCAACAAGGAGUCAAGCAGAUAGGUCAUCAGGAAAAGAGAAGACACCUGGUAUGAAAUAUAC